rnacentral:lncRNA from 1 species
UCCUCUAAUGGCAGCUGUUCAGGACAUAAACAGAGCAGUGAUGUUAGAAGUGUAUUUCUUUUUUUGCUCCUAGACUAUUUGUGUCCUGUGGGUCACUAUUGCCCCACUGGCAGCCCAGAGCCCAUACCGUGUCCCUCUGGAAAAUAUCAGGACCAGGCUGGUAAAAGCCACUGUGAAACUUGCCCAGUGGGAAUGUUCUGUGCCCCAGAAGACCACCCAGCUGAUCUCCAAGAGAACUUCUCACAAGGUGUGGUCAAACCAAUAGAAUGUCCAGCAGGAUAUUACUGCCCAUCGGGAACAAGAGCUGCCAAUCAGUACCCGUGCCCAGAGGGCACCUACAGUAACCAAACUGGAGUGGGAAAUCCCAGGGAGUGCAAGCCUUGUCCUGGAAGCACGUUUUGUGCCAGUGCAGGACUCUCGUCCCCAAGCGGUCCUUGUUUGCCUGGGUAUUACUGCACUUCGAAGGCCCGUAUACCCAAUCCUGUCAAUGAUGAGACGGGCAGCCUUUGCCCAGCAGGCUGUUACUGCCCACCUGGCAGCAGCAAGCCAGAGCUAUGUCCCACUGGCACGUUCUUACCUCAGUCUGGGAUGGUUUACCGUAACUCCUGUCUGCCCUGCCCUGGGGGGAAGUUCUGCCAAGGAGAAGGCCUGGCCAGGGUUUCUGGUGUGUAUUACAUGCAUUUAACAUCUUUUUUGUCUCCUACUUUGAACUUUUUUAUGUUUUCUGGUUGCUUAAACGUAAUGCUGAAGCUUUUCUUUCUCGCAGGAACAUGUUACGCCGGGUAUUUCUGUGAUCUUGGAUCCACACAGCCGGAUCAUAAGCAUUGCCCCCCUGGCUUCUACUGUCCCGAAGGCUCUGAAUCCCCGAUCCCAUGCAGCCCUGGAACCUUCAACUCCAAGAGUGGAAAAUGGCAGUCGACAGACUGUCAGCUCUGCCCAGCUGGAUACUUCUGCACUGGUUCUGGAGCACGUACUCCUGAGCUGUGUCCUGCUGGGUACUUCUGUCUGCCAGGUACCAACUUCAGUACAGAGCAUCUGUGUCCCAAGGGUACCUUUGGCCCCAGGACUGGUGCCACUGGCGAGUCUGACUGUGAGCCCUGCCCAGCAGGUGAGUGAGGACUUGGCACAAGAAACCCAGGGGACGUACAUGGGAAGGCUGAGGAAAAUAUGACUUCUUCCUUCAUGUUAUUGACUCCUCCGCUGAUCUUCUGUGCAGGCCUUCACACUGAGAUAGGUUUUCUGUUUGUUUUAGGCAUGUAUUGCUCAGCACCAGGUCUGUCACAGCCUUCUGGAUUUUGCUAUUCAGGUUAUCAUUGUGCCAAGGGAGCCAUCAG